UACAGAGGGUGCGAGCGUUGUCCGGAAUCACUGGGCGUAAAGGGCGCGUAGGCGGCCUGAUAAGUCGGGGGGUGAAAUCCUGUGGCUUAACCACAGGGCUGCCUCCGAGACUGUCGGGCUCGAGCACAGUAGAGGCAGGUGGAAUUCCCGGUGUAGCGGUGGAAUGCGUAGAGAUCGGGAAGAACAUCGGUGGCGAAGGCGGCCUGCUGGGCUGUUGCUGACGCUGAGGCGCGACAGCGUGGGGAGCAAACAGG
rnacentral:rRNA from 1 species